GAUAUGAAUACAAAGAAAUCACUGUGGGAUGGGAAAGAGAUCUGGGCCUUUGUUACAGCUAACAGACAUGGAAGAAUGUUCACAGCAGCCUGUUUCACACUGUAAUUGGAAGUCUGACUUGUAUGGUCAUUAGCUACUUUUCUAACCCUGACUGGAUUCUGAGGAUAUCUCCAAAGAAACCAUUAUGCUCAGGAUCUCCCUUGAAAUCUCCAAAAGACACAUGAAAAGAAAAGAAACUGCAAGAGCAGGAACAGUCUCACAUCUACAAGAUAAUUUCCAAUAUAAUGUGACUGACCCACAAGCAUGAGCUUUUCCUUGACUGAACAGGAAGUACUUCAGUUAUUGCUUCAGUACAAGCACUGAUGUCUAAGAAUAUCAACAGAUUAGUAAGUGAUAUUCGCUGAACUCUGUAUGAAAGCUGAAUAUUCAAUACAAACCGACGAAUAUUCUGAAAUCUGCGCCUUGCAAGCCAUGCACGGGCAUAUUUCUGAAGGAUUACAGCCUUGUGUUCUUCAAGCAUCUAUAAAAGAAAGUAUUAACAUCCGUCUGUAACCAUCUGUGGAUCAAUCAGCAUCAAUUAAAAUAUUCUG